GAAACUAACAAGGAUUCCCCUAGUAACGGCGAGUGAACCGGGAAGAGCUCAAAUUUGAAAUCUGGCGUCCUCAGGGCGUCCGAGUUGUAAUCUAUAGAGGCGUUUUCCGUGCCGGACCGUGUCCAAGUUCCUUGGAACAGGAUAUCAAAGAGGGUGACAAUCCCGUACUUGACACGACGACCGGUGCUCUGUGAUACGUCUUCUACGAGUCGAGUUGUUUGGGAAUGCAGCUCAAAAUGGGUGGUGAGUUCCAUCUAAAGCUAAAUAUUGGCGAGAGACCGAUAGCGAACAAGUACCGUGAGGGAAAGAUGAAAAGCACUUUGGAAAGAGAGUUAAACAGUACGUGAAAUUGUUGAAAGGGAAACGAUUGAAGUCAGUCGUGACCGAGAGGCUCAGCCGGUUCUGCCGGUGUAUUCCCCUCGGUCGGGUCAACAUCAGUUUUGUCCGGUGGAUAAGGACGGUAGGAAGGUGGCACCCUCGGGUGUGUUAUAGCCUGCCGUCGCAUACAUCGGGUGAGACUGAGGAACGCAGCUCGCCUUUAUGGCCGGGGUUCGCCCACGUCCGAGCUAG
rnacentral:rRNA from 1 species